rnacentral:rRNA from 1 species
CAUAUUAAUUUUAAUCAACCAAAAAUUAGUUUAAAAAAUACUUGGUCCUUUCGUACUAAAGUAUUAUAUAAAAUUAAAGAUAGAAACCGACCUGGCUCACGACGGUUGACCUCCCAGGAUCUGUAA